rnacentral:rRNA from 1 species
UACCAGCACCCCGAGUGGUCGGGACGAUUAUUGGGCCUAAAGCAUCCGUAGCCGGUUCUACAAGUCUUCCGUUAAAUCCACCUGCUCAACAGUUGGGCUGCGGAGGAUACUAUAGAGCUAGGAGGCGGGAGAGGCAAGCGGUACUUAGUGGGUAGGGGUAAAAUCCGUUGAGUCCAUUGAAGACCACCAGUGGCGAAGGCGGCUUGCCAGAACGCACUCGACGGUGAGGGAUGAAAGCUGGGGG